UUCCGGUUGAUCCUGCCAGAGGCUACUGCUAUCGGGGUUCGAUUAAGCCAUGCGAGUUAAAUGUUCUUCGUGAACAUAGCGAACUGCUCAGUAACACGUGGAUAACCUACCCUUGGGACCGGAAUAACCCCGGGAAACUGGGGAUAAUACCGGAUAAGCCAUAGACGCUGGAAUGCCCUAUGGUUCAAAGCUCCGGCGCCCAAGGAUGGAUCUGCGGUCUAUCAGGUUGUAGUGGGUGUAACGUACCUACUAGCCUACGACGGAUACGGGUUGUGAGAGCAAGAGCCCGGAGAUGGAUUCUGAGACACGAAUCCAGGCCCUACGGGGUGCAGCAGGCGCGAACACUUUACAAUGCGGGAAACCGCGAUAAGGGAACCCCGAGUGCCAGCAUCAAAUGUUGGCUGUCCAGAUGGUUAAAAAUCAUUUGUUAGCAAGGGCCGGGCAAGACCGGUGCCAGCCGCCGCGGUAACACCGGCGGCCCGAGUGGUAGCCGUUUUUAUUGGGUCUAAAGGGUCCGUAGCCGGCUUGAUAAGUCCUUUGGGAAAUCUGACAGCUUAACUGUCAGGCUUCUAAGGGAUACUGUCAGGCUUGGGACCGGAAGAGGUAAGGGGUACUCCAGGGGUAGGAGUGAAAUCUUGUAAUCCCUGGGGGACCAUCUGUGGCGAAGGCGCCUUACCAGAACGGGUCCGACGGUGAGGGACGAAAGCUAGGGGAGCAAACCGGAUUAGAUACCCGGGUAGUCCUAGCUGUAAACGAUGCUCGCUAGGUGUCAGACACGGUGCGACCGUGUUUGGUGCCGCAGGGAAGCCGUUAAGCGAGCCACCUGGGAAGUACGGUCGCAAGGCUGAAACUUAAAGGAAUUGGCGGGGGAGCACUACAACGGGUGGAGCCUGCGGUUUAAUUGGAUUCAACGCCGGGA
rnacentral:rRNA from 1 species